AUGGGUGAGAGCUUCAGAAGACAGCAGCAGCAGCCGCAACAAGCAGAGGACGCUACAAGGGCAAUGGCUGCAUGGCGGUGGCCACAGCGGCAGUGGCAACAGUGUGGACAGCACUGCCGUGGGGAGGGUGACUGCGGCUUCAGCAGUGGCCCAGCAGGGACAACCCCUGAGUCCUGCUCCUGGCUCCCGAGUCAGUUGAGUACUUCCACAGCAAAAAGAAAGGAGGAAGAGGAGGAGAAGGAAGGAAAAACAGGAAGAGGAAGACAAAAGGAGAAGGAAGAAGGGGAGAAGAAAAGGUGAGAAGGGGGAAGAGGAGGCAAGAGGAAGAGAGAAGAAAAGUUAAAAUUAUUAGUUGUAUAAAAUUUGUUUAAACACUUGUUUUGGUUGCUGAUCUGUUUAAAAAAUAAAUAAAAAGUUAAUGUUUAGUUUGGGUUUGUAGUCAUCAGGCUGUUGUAACUUGCACUAAUUUUUAAUAUAUGAUUUUAUUUAUUUCAAAUAUCCAAGUUUAAGAAGUUAACAGUGGGGAUUUCAAAUUAUGGAUAGAGGAAAUGUAUGCCAGAGCAGUAUUUUUGGGUACCAAGAAUUCUUGUUUUCAUUUAUUUCUCUUGACCUUAAGUAUCCCUGCCAUUGUUUAAAAAUCAGAAGGUUUUGAAACCUUGCUUUCAGAAGGUUCUGUAAGUUAUACAAAUAAGUAGAAGUUGCUAUAAAAAUGUAUUUUGUCUUUAGAACGUAUCAGUUAUAGAGACUAGCCCAGAUCAGCCACUCUGUAGAGAUGAUCAUCAAAUCUUCAUAGGAUAUCUACAGGAUUUGAUCAGCUACUAAGACUACUACAGUUGGGCUGGGCUACUUUUCAGUAACUACUUUCCAUCUUGAUCCCAUCACUAUAUACCAUCUCCUGAGUUUUGUUUUUGUUUUUGUCUUUUUGAGACAGGGUCUCUCUAUGCAGUUCAGGCUGGACUUGAGCUCAUUUUGUAGCCCAGGCUUGUCUCAAACUCGUGACAAUCCUCCUGCCUCAGCCUCCUGAGUGCAGGGAUUACAAGUGUGCACCACCACACCCGGCUCUCCAGAGUAUUAAGAGGCUGCGUGAGUCACAUUUCCGCAGCUGGCACUCGCCGCUUCAGGGAGAAGAAGUCGAUUUAGGCUCAGAGUUUCAGUCCAUAGCCAGCCUGCUCCAAGGAAGAAACAGGAAGGCAGAGGGGCGUGGUCAAGGAAAAUGUCCUCAAGGAAGCAGCGAGAGAAGGGAAGAGGCAGUGACAGGAAUGAUCCUCCCAGGUCACAGCCUCAGCAGCCCACCUCUAGCCCCGCCCCACCUCUAACUGCGGGUCAGUCAUGAGCUCAUCCUUGGACCAAUUCACUGCUUCUGCAAUCCAAUCACGUUUCAAAUCCAUGAGACUUCUUGGGCGAUUUUAGACCUAAACCAUAACAGAGGGACAGACAACAUGUUGUCACAACGUGUCAUUCUGCCCAAUAAAACAAAGAGGGCUGAUCACUAACUGCCUCACCCCAUCGGAAUGAGUACAGAGGGGCUGGGGAGUUAGCUCAGCGGCACAGCGCCUGCCUGGCAGGUGCAAGAUCAUGAGUUCGAUUCCCGGUACUGGAAAAAAACAAACAAAAGGCAAAAAAAAGAAUGAGCACAGACAGCAGGCCGGCAAGUUUUCUGGCAAGGUGUUAGUGACCCGUGACCAAAAAAAAAAAGAGUAUUACAGUGUUGUCCCCACUCACGGCAGGAGUAACCCCAAAGAGCAAAGUCGCUCUGUGCUCUUCCCAGGGGUCGUGCUAAGAAGUUAAGGCAGUGAUGCGCAGAACCUCAUCUCUGGCUGCGGAGGACAGUUUUCAGACCCGUAGAAAAAUGGAUUCAUUUCAGCAUCUGAGUCACUUCCCUGACUGUGCCUUGAGAGAACUCACUUUUUUCCACAAUACUAACGCAAACACUGCCUCAGCUUCCCACUUGCUGAAUUCUUCAACUCAUUCAUACAUUUAUUUGGCACUUGGACAGCAGCUUUUACACAACUGUGUGCCAGGCAGUGUUCCAGGAGCUGGAGACCCUGGGGAGAAAUAAAAACACAUUUUCAUGGAGGACAGAGAAUGAGUAGAUACUCAAGGCAAGGUCAGGCACUGCAUGCCGUGAGAGGAUAAAGAAAGGGUGUAAGGAACAGCAGAAGUUGCUGCCUUAGGAGAACAAUCCAAGUUCUCUCUGGGAAUGAACCGAGGAGCGGACCUUGCGGAAAGCCACGGGCAGCACUCUGGGCAGAAGGCACCCUGAGCGCACAGACCCCCAGGUGGAAAUGGGUGGGAGGCCACCAGGGGCAGUGCGGGUAUGAGGAACACGGGCAAAGGGGGCGAGAAAUGGUCCAGAAAGGUGGCCAGGGAUUGAUCAGGGAGCGACCUUG
rnacentral:lncRNA from 1 species